rnacentral:lncRNA from 1 species
CUCCACCUUUGGGCAAGAUGGCUGCGCCCACUGGCUUUGCCGGGAGGGAGGGGCUGCUAUUCUCACGCGCCGAUCUGGAUUCAGAUCAGUUCUGUUCUCUGGUCUCCCGAGGCCCUGGGUUUAUGGGGUCCCCACGGACGGAAGCUUUCCCCCCAUCAGUGGGUUUCCACUGAACCAGCGGCAGGAGUCCUGGAUGAUCCCCCGGUCGCGCGGCCCCUCCCCCACUCCUUCGUGACCCACGCCGCAGCCAUCGCAGACUCUAGGGGAGGGAGCAAUGUUCUCUCCUAUCGUUCCAGCACCUCCAAGGCCAAAAUAACACAUUGGUUAUAGACGAAGCUCUCCGUGUGCCCUUUCCAGACUCCACUUCCCUCUCUCCUCCUCCUAUGAUCUGGCUCCUGAACUUGGGUGUAUGUUUUCACGUGUUAAGACAUCUUCCAUAGCUCAAGGGUCUAAAACAGCGCUGUGCAUAUCAAAGGCACUCAGGUCAUGCUGGGUGAGUGACAAACCAUAGGGGAAAUUCAUGAAAGAUCUCAAGACUCUGAGCUUCCCUGGUAAAGAGGACAGGGCGUGUAAGUCACGGCCAAGGCUCCAGACGCCGCUACAUGAGGCGGCACCUGCGGAAAACCCGACUGAAGCGUUAACAGAACACAGCAUCUGUGCUUCGCUUUCCUAAACUCUAAUAAAAAUAAUGCUUC